GUGUCUAUUGUACCUUGUUGCUUCGGCGGGCCCGCCGUUUUCGAACGGCCGCCGGGGAGGCCUCGCGCCCCCGGGCCCGCGCCCGCCGAAGACCCCAACAUGAACUCUGUUCUGAAAGUAUGCAGUCUGAGUUUGAUUACCAUAAUCAGUUAAAACUUUCAACAACGGAUCUCUUGGUUCCGGCAUCGAUGAAGAACGCAGCGAAAUGCGAUAAGUAAUGUGAAUUGCAGAAUUCAGUGAAUCAUCGAGUCUUUGAACGCACAUUGCGCCCCCUGGUAUUCCGGGGGGCAUGCCUGUCCGAGCGUCAUUGCUGCCCUCAAGCACGGCUUGUGUGUUGGGCCCCCGUCCCCGGUUCUCCCCGGGGACGGGCCCGAAAGGCAGCGGCGGCACCGCGUCCGAUCCUCGAGCGUAUGGGGCUUUGUCACCCGCUCUGUAGGCCCGGCCGGCGCCAGCCGACACCCCCAACUUUAUUUUUCUAAGGUUGACCUCGGAUCAGGUAGGGAUACCCGCUGAACUUAAGCAUAUCAAUA
rnacentral:rRNA from 1 species